GCUGUUUGCAUUUUCAGCUUAAAUUUAAAAAUAACUAAUCAUCUGCGCCUCUCUUUGACUGUGUGUGUGUGUGCACAGCGCGGAAUUGGAUUGAACAACGUAAAAUGGAGGGGGUCGAAGUGAAAUGAAUGCCAAUCGAAAGGCCAAACACACACAUACAUGCAUGCAUACAUUAGUCAAUUAAUG